UACGGGGGGAGCAAGCGUUGUUCGGAUUUACUGGGCGUAAAGGGCUCGUAGGCGGCCAACUAAGUCGGAUGUGAAAUCCCCAGGCUUAACCUGGGAACUGCAUCCGAUACUGGAUGGCUUGAGUUUGGGAGAGGGACGCGGAAUUCCAGGUGUAGCGGUGAAAUGCGUAGAUAUCUGGAGGAACACCGGUGGCGAAGGCGGCGUCCUGGACCAACACUGACACUGAGGAGCGAAAGCCAGGGGAGCAAACGGG
rnacentral:rRNA from 1 species